rnacentral:rRNA from 1 species
UAGGGAAUAUUGGUAAUCUGGGAAACCGGGAACCAGCAACGCCGCGUGCACGAUGAAGGCCUUCGGGUCGUAAAGUGCUUUUUGAAGGGAUGAGGAAGGACAGUACCUUCAGAAUAAGCCUCGGCUAACUACGUGCCAGCAGCCGCGGUAAAACGUAGGAGGCGAGCGUUAUCCGGAUUUACUGGGCGUAAAGCGUGUGUAGGCGGUUUGAUAAGUUGGAUGUGAAAGCUCCCGGCUCAACUGGGAGAGGUCGUUCAAAACUAUCAGACUAGAGAGUGGUAGAGGGAGGUGGAAUUCCGCGUGUAGUGGUGAAAUGCGUAGAUAUGCGGAGGAACACCAGUGGCGAAAGCGGCCUCCUGGCCCAUUUCUGACGCUCAGACACGAAAGCUAAGGUAGCAAACGG